rnacentral:rRNA from 1 species
AUUGAACGCUGGCGGCAGGCCUAACACAUGCAAGUCGAACGAGUGGCGGACGGGUGAGUAAUGUCUGGGAAACUGCCCGAUGGAGGGGGAUAACUACUGGAAACGGUAGCUAAUACCGCAUACCAUCGGAUGUGCCCAGAUGGGAUUAGCUAGCAGGUGGGGUAACGGCUCACCUAGGCGACGAUCCCGAGCUGGUCUGAGAGGAUGACCAGCAACACUGGAACUGAGACACGGUCCAGACUCCUACGGGAGGCAGCAGUGGGGAAUAUUGCACAAUGGGCGCAAGCCUGAUGCAGCCAUGCCGCGUGUAUGAAGAAGGCCUUCGGGUUGUAAAGUACUUUCAGCGGAGAGGCGUUACUCGCAGAAGAAGCACCGGCUAACUCCGUGCCAGCAGCCGCGGUAAUUC